rnacentral:rRNA from 1 species
AGAGUUUGAUCAUGGCUCAGGAUGAACGCUAGCGGCAGGCCUAAUACAUGCAAGUCGGACGGGACUAUUUCUAGUAGCAAUACCGGGAAUAGUUUAGUGGCGAACGGGUGCUUAACACGUGGGCAACCUGCCAGGAAGUGGGGGAUAGCUCGCCGAAAGGCGAAUUAAUACCGCAUGUGAUUAGAGAGGACAUCCUUUCGAAAUUAAAGUCGGGGCAACCUGACGCUUCUUGUGGGGCCCGCGGCCUAUCAGCUAGUUGGUGAGGUUACGGCUCACCAAGGCUUUGACGGGUAGCUGGUCUGAGAGGACGACCAGCCACACUGGGACUGAGACACGGCCCAGACACCUACGGGUGGCAGCAGUCGAGAAUUUUUGACAAUGGGGGAAACCCUGAUCGAGCGACGCCGCGUGGAGGAUGAAGGUCUUCGGAUUGUAAACUCCUGUCAUUGGGGAACAAUGCACAGAUAUUAACUGUAUUUGUGUUGAUAGUACCCGAAGAGGAAGAGACGGCUAACUCUGUGCCAGCAGCCGCGGUAAUACAGAGGUCUCAAGCGUUGUUCGGAUUCAUUGGGCGUAAAGGGUGCGUAGGCGGCGCGGUAAGUCGGGUGUGAAAUCUCGGAGCUUAACUCCGAAACUGCAUUCGAUACUGCCGUGCUUGAGGACUGGAGAGGAGACUGGAACUUACGGUGUAGCGGUGAAAUGCGUAGAUAU